UUUAAUGCCCUGUAGUUGACUCUGUUCACCCAGCUCAGAUCACCCGGGUCAAUUAAGUAAACUAAAAAUACACUUAGUUCACCUAUGAUUUUCUUGGGGGUAUUAAGUAAACUUUAAGUAUAUUUGAUUCCCCUUUGUUCACCUGAGGUGCACAAAGCUAACAGACAGUAAAUUUAAUGCACCUGUGACCAAUUAUGGGUGCAUUAAGUAUACUUUAAUUUACUUUUUGUUUACUAUGUUAACAAAUGUAAUGCAUCAGUGACCCAUUAUGGGAUUUAUGUGGGUAUAAAAAGUACGUUUAGUGUACAAUACUGUAAAUCUACUGUGGUGUACCUACCUAAUUAGUAGUAGUAAAACACCUUAUUGAACUGAAUAAUUUAUAGUUAAAGAACUGUUUUUUCAAAAAAUUUAAGGACUGUAGUUUCGGAGACAAGAAGACUUCAGCACAGAAGUGCCGCGACAGUAUUUCACUUGUGAGAUAAAUUACCAGUCCCUCUCUAAUGAAUACCGCUUCAAAAAUACGGGUAGUCUAUUUCGCGGGCGAUAUCCUGGCGCGCCACUCCUGUUCUAGGCCGGAAGGUGGGGGAAUGGUUAUUUUUUACCCAUAUCUUAAAUAACUUCUAAACUAUUUAUCUUUAAUUUAUAAAGAGAUUCUCUUAAUGAGUCCUUUCAUUCAAUAUUUUAACACGAUAUUGUUUGCAUAACCUUUUUUUUUUAUUUUUAAGAGUAAUUUAUAUACGUUUCAUGGCCGUCUUUGGGUUACAGACUUAGGUACUUCAAUAUCUGUACCAAAUGUUAACUGUAGUUAUUAACUGGUUAUAACCCGAAACUAUAUAUACAUAGUUUCGGGACAAAUAGGCUACAGCUGGACAGAUAGACGUAUUUAACCGAGGUACAGAAGCCUAAAAAUCGGUCAAAUGCCUCUCGGGUGAUGGAUAGUUUUCGUAUCUUCAUAAGUGUCGCACGAUAUCAGAAAGACGGCAGGACCGACCUGGAAUAGAACCGCUGCAUACAGAACAACAUGGAAAUCCAUGAAAGAGGCAUAUCUUCAGCAGUGGACGCAUAUAUUCUGAGAAGAAGAGAGAAUUUUAGCGUCGUAAAAGCCUACAAAUCUGUGCUUUUAAUUCUUUUGAAUCUCUACAAAAAAUGUUUUCUACUCAACAAUAGAUGCCGCUACAUGUCAUAAUUGUACAUAAAUAUUUACAUUUAAGAACGACGUUAUUGUGACGUUAAUGCCGUCGGUCUUACUCCAUCAUUUUAUUAAAACGUAUAUAGAUAAGUUAUAACAAAUUGUCUAUGCAUGAACAAAAAUAGAGUUGUCACCUUCUAUCAAAAAUGACAUUUUCAAUCAUUAGUGAACAAUUUGCUAAUACAGUCAUGAUAUUUUGAAUGUAUAAAUGAAAAAAAUUAAAUACCCAACCACGACUUCGUAAACAUUGUGCCAUUUAUAUUAUAACUAUAAUAAUAAUCUUGAAACGCUGUGGCUACGUUCAAGAAGUCUAGCUAAAAAUUCCGUCACUCUUCCCAUCAUCCCUGAGAAUGUUAGGCUAUAUUGAAAUUAGUUGAUGUAGAACUAGCAUGUUGACGCUGACAAUAAGAGACCGACUGAGAAUAUCGUUGAGCGCGGCGUGCCUGUUGUGUUCAAAGGCGUCGUGGCGAGGACCUCGGGUGGUCGAUCACGUCGGCGUCGACAUCAUUACCGCAGUGGCACCGAGUCGCAGGCAGAUUGCAAAGCACUAAGUGUGAUAUUCGAAGAGAGUUUCAGUGUGUACAGACGGAAGAGCGUGUAACCAGACAGCAGAUUCCUUGCUGCUAAGCGUCUGGCGUAUGCAAAACCUGUGCUGCGUGAUAUAAAUGUCGGAGAACUUCUGAAUUGUGCCAUCAAUCGCUUUUAACAAGUGUAUAAUCACGCUAUCUUUUACAAAUAGAGCAAAAUCAAUCUUCAGACGAAAAGAAGCGGGAGAAGAUGGCGUUAGUGGUGGUUCUUGGGAUCAAAUCAAACCCACUGGUUUGCUUAGGCUAAGUAAUGUAACGUGUACUAUGAUUUUGUAAUCAGUAUUGUCCAGGAAAGACUGUGAGUUGAAUAUCGUUUUUCAUUGAAAGCCCUCGUCAUACACGAUUGAAGUUUUUAUUGAAACAUUCGUCGCCAGUGGUUUGUUUUAAGUCCAGCGGGAUUUUGUUAUAUAUGCUUUUCAUUUCUCAUUCUCUGGAAGUGGGCCGUUGUUCUAAAAAGUGUACAGAAAAUGAUAAGUUUCUGCUUUAGAGCACUGUACUUUUUAAGUUCAUCUUUUUGUACGAUAAGCAAUUAAAAUUUGGUUUUAAAUGGAUUUGUGUCUCUCCAUUCCAUAAAUACCGAUAUUUUUACCGAAAUUGUUAAUUGAAAGUACGCUACUGAAGUUUAUUAUUAUUAUUAUUUAAACUUUAUACCUACCUACCUAUUAUUUUAGUUUAUACCUACUUAGCAGUAUUUUGUGAAAUGCACAAGUCUUUUAAUUUCCUCAAAUAUGAAAUGAAAAUUAAAGUGUUUAACUCGGGUGAAAAGCACCAAUUCAAAUGGGUGCCUUUCAUCUCUUGGCUAACAAUAUACUAUUUAUAAAUUGUAUAUACAGAUGUCAAUCACAAGGAAAAAACAGCAUGUGGUUAUUUAUUUAAUCUAUUGAAUCGUCUAUCGUACUGGUGUGGGACGCAACGUGUGUCGACACCUUUCCACAGUCCCACAUUGGGGCAGCCCGCAAUCAGGCCGGCGCUGCGGUUGACCAGGCCCAGAUGCUCAAGCGCCGCAAAUACUCGGCCUUACUCAAAGUCCAUGAGUUUGCGCGGCGCUCUCGGUUGAGACUUUUGGUCCCUGGUCAGCCGACAUGAAAGCAUUUAUGAGGGCACUGUCGGCGCGGCUUGUCGACACAACAGGGGACCCCAGGACUGGCGCGUACCUCUCUAAACGUAUCUUCCUUGCGAUACAGAGAGGUAACGCCGCCAGUUUCAUGGGGUCCAUGCCGCAGGCAGAUUUAUUGGACGGGGUGUUCUCUUUGUGAUUGGGUUUUUUUAUUAUUUUGUAGGUAAGUAUAUUUUUAUUUUUCCUUUGUUAUUUUCUACA